CCUCAGGCUGAAAGCUGCUCUGUAGGACCAGUGCUGCAGUCAACGCUUGUCCAGUUGCAGUAGUGUUUCACUAAGAACAUCUUUCUAACAAGAGAAUAACUAAAGCAGGUUUAGCCAUAAUGCAAGGCAUUGUUCCCAAGAACCUACUAAAAGGGGUUGAUAUCUGUGGAGGGAAAACACAGAUAUAUAUAAUCCGCUCUGAUAUUGGCUGCUACAUGCAGACAAGUAAUUUGAAUAAAGGUU